rnacentral:rRNA from 1 species
GAUGAACGCUAGCUACAGGCUUAACACAUGCAAGUCGAGGGGCAGCAUUUCAGUUUGCUUGCAAACUGGAGAUGGCGACCGGCGCACGGGUGAGUAACACGUAUCCAACCUGCCGAUAACUCGGGGAUAGCCUUUCGAAAGAAAGAUUAAUACCCGAUGGUAUAAUCAGACCGCAUGGUCUUGUUAUUAAAGAAUUUCGGUUAUCGAUGGGGAUGCGUUCCAUUAGGCAGUUGGUGAGGUAACGGCUCACCAAACCUUCGAUGGAUAGGGGUUCUGAGAGGAAGGUCCCCCACAUUGGAACUGAGACACGGUCCAAACUCCUACGGGAGGCAGCAGUGAGGAAUAUUGGUCAAUGGGCGCAGGCCUGAACCAGCCAAGUAGCGUGAAGGAUGACUGCCCUAUGGGUUGUAAACUUCUUUUAUAUGGGAAUAAAGUUUUCCACGUGUGGAAUUUUGUAUGUACCAUAUGAAUAAGGAUCGGCUAACUCCGUGCCAGCAGCCGCGGUAAUACGGAGGAUCCGAGCGUUAUCCGGAUUUAUUGGGUUUAAAGGGAGCGUAGGUGGACAGUUAAGUCAGUUGUGAAAGUUUGCGGCUCAACCGUAAAAUUGCAGUUGAUACUGGCUGUCUUGAGUACAGUAGAGGUGGGCGGAAUUCGUGGUGUAGCGGUGAAAUGCUUAGAUAUCACGAAGAACUCCGAUUGCGAAGGCAGCUCACUGGACUGCAACUGACACUGAUGCUCGAAAGUGUGGGUAUCAAACAGGAUUAGAUACCCUGGUAGUCCACACAGUAAACGAUGAAUACUCGCUGUUUGCGAUAUACAGUAAGCGGCCAAGCGAAAGCAUUAAGUAUUCCACCUGGGGAGUACGCCGGCAACGGUGAAACUCAAAGGAAUUGACGGGGGCCCGCACAAGCGGAGGAACAUGUGGUUUAAUUCGAUGAUACGCGAGGAACCUUACCCGGGCUUAAAUUGCAUUUGAAUAUAUUGGAAACAGUAUAGCCGUAAGGCAAAUGUGAAGGUGCUGCAUGGUUGUCGUCAGCUCGUGCCGUGAGGUGUCGGCUUAAGUGCCAUAACGAGCGCAACCCUUAUCUUUAGUUACUAACAGGUCAUGCUGAGGACUCUAGAGAGACUGCCGUCGUAAGAUGUGAGGAAGGUGGGGAUGACGUCAAAUCAGCACGGCCCUUACGUCCGGGGCUACACACGUGUUACAAUGGGGGGUACAGAAGGCAGCUACCUGGUGACAGGAUGCUAAUCCCAAAAGCCUCUCUCAGUUCGGAUCGAAGUCUGCAACCCGACUUCGUGAAGCUGGAUUUCGCUAGUAAUCGCGCAUUCAGCCAUGGCGCGGUGAAUACGUUCCCGGGCCU